rnacentral:rRNA from 1 species
AGCAGCCGCGGUAAUUCCAGCUCCAAUAGCGUAUAUUAAAGUUGUUGCAGUUAAAAAGCUCGUAGUUGAAUUUCGGGAUCAAUUUGCUGGUCGUGCCUUCGGUACGCACUGGUAUUAUUGGUUUCUCCUUUCUGAUGAAUCGCGAUGUCAUUAAUUUGGUGUCGUGGGGAAUCAGGACCGUUACUUUGAAAAAAUUAGAGUGUUUAAAGCAGGCUCACGCUUGAAUACAUUAGCAUGGAAUAAUGAAAUAGGACGUUUGAUUCUAUUUUGUUGGUUUCUAGGAUCGACGUAAUGAUUAAUAGGGAUAGUUGGGGGCAUUAGUAUUCAAUUGUCAGAGGUGAAAUUCUUGGAUUUAUUGAAGACUAACUACUGCGAAAGCAUUUGCCAAGGAUGUUUUCAUUAAUCAAGAACGAAAGUUAGGGGAUCGAAGACGAUCAGAUACCGUCGUAGUCUUAACCAUAAACUAUGCCGACUAGGGAUCGGAUGAUGUUAAUUUUUAAUGACUCAUUCGGC